CGGACUACUCCAAAUACUCUCCGGGCUUCACUACCAACCGAUUUUCUACAGUGAUCGACUACCCUUCGAAUCUCUUCCAGACUUCUUCUAGCCGCGAUCGACUUUACUCCAAACUUCUUCUGAACUUCAUCAAUGACCGAGCUUCUCCAGCAGCAGGACUUCUACAGUAACCAGACUCCAUCCAAGUUUCUACAGUGGUCGAUGCCUUUCGAAUUUCAUCCGAGCUCCUACAAGAGUCGGACUCCGUCCGAACUUCUACAGCGGAUGGAUCUCAGACGAACGUCUACAAUGGACGGACUCCACCGAUCGGAUCUCUACUCUGAAUUUCUAUUGCAAGCGGACUUCAUCCGAGCUUUUACAAUAAAAAGUCUCCAUUCGAGUUUCCACGGCAACCGAUCUUUGUCCGAGCUUCUACAAUAAGCGGCCUCCUUUCGGACUCCUACAAGAACCGAACUCCAUCCGAACUUCUACAAUAGAAUUGAACUCCAGACUCCUCCAGUGGUCGACCUUCCACAGUGUCCUCAAGACUCCUCCAACGGACGAACUUUCACAACGCCUCCCGAACUCCACUAUCGAUCGACCUUCAGCUGGAUUUCCCAUGAAACCAGACCUCUCCAGUAGACAGUC
rnacentral:lncRNA from 1 species